UACGAAGGGGGCUAGCGUUGCUCGGAAUCACUGGGCGUAAAGCGCACGUAGGCGGCUUUUUAAGUCAGGGGUGAAAUCCUGGAGCUCAACUCCAGAACUGCCUCCGAUACUGAAAGGUUCGAGUCCGGGAGAGGUGAGUGGAACUGCGAGUGUAGAGGUGAAAUUCGUAGAUAUUCGGAAGAACACCAGUGGCGAAGGCGACUUACUGGUCCAUUACUGACGCUGAGGCUCGAAAGCGUGGGGAGCAAACAGG
rnacentral:rRNA from 1 species